rnacentral:rRNA from 1 species
UGCAAGUCGAGCGCCUCGCAGAGGAGCGGCAGACGGGUGAGUAACGCGUGGGAAUCUACCGUACCCUACGGAAUAGCUCCGGGAAACUGGAAUUAAUACCGUAUACGCCCUUCGGGGGAAAGAUUUAUCGGGGUAUGAUGAGCCCGCGUUGGAUUAGCUAGUUGGUGGGGUAAAGGCCUACCAAGGCGACGAUCCAUAGCUGGUCUGAGAGGAUGAUCAGCCACAUUGGGACUGAGACACGGUCCAGACUCCUACGGGAGGCAGCAGUGGGGAAUUUUGCGCAAUGGGGGAAACCCUGACGCAGCAACGCCGCGUGGAGGAUGAAGUCCCUUGGGACGUAAACUCCUUUCGACCGGGAAGAUAAUGACGGUACCGGAAGAAGAAGCCCCGGCUAACUUCGUGCCAGCAGCCGCGGUAAUACGAGGGGGGCAAGCGUUGUUCGGAAUUAUUGGGCGUAAAGGGUGCGUAGGUGGUUCGGCAAGUCUUGUGUGAAAUCUUCAGGCUCAACUUGAAGUCUGCACAAGAAACUGCCGGGCUUGAGUAUGGGAGAGGUGAGUGGAAUUUCCGGUGUAGCGGUGAAAUGCGUAGAUAUCGGAAGGAACACCUGUGGCGAAAGCGGCUCACUGGACCAUUACUGACACUGAGGCACGAAAGCUAGGGGAGCAAACAGGAUUAGAUACCCUGGUAGUCCUAGCCCUAAACGAUGAUCGCUUGGUGUGGCGGGUAUCCAACCCUGCCGUGCCGUAGCUAACGCGUUAAGCGAUCCGCCUGGGGAGUACGGUCGCAAGGCUGAAACUCAAAGGAAUUGACGGGGGCCCGCACAAGCGGUGGAGCAUGUGGUUUAAUUCGACGCAACCGAAGAACCUUACCUG